GUGAAUCCAAGCUUUAUGGAGCCAGGCUAACAAUCAAACUUCUCUUUUGAGAAAAGGAAACUUUGGUAAAAAAAUUCUGAACCCAGGAUAACUUCUGUAUCGGUGCAAAAGAAAAAACGGGUUACGUGGCUCUUCAAGUUUACAGGAUAGAGCAAUUGGAAUGGUUAUGUAAGGCAACAAGAAGAAUUGUGCUAAGGAACUGGUGCGUCUGCGGGUUUGUCGCAAAAGUUGAUAAAUUGAGGUGAUUGGAGCCUGGCAUUACUGAUUGCUCUACUUAAGCGUGCUAAUAAGUUUUAUUUUUUUUUUUAUUUCGCAUGUGUUGUUAGUUUUGACACUUCAAUAAAUGGUUUUAUGAUGGA